rnacentral:rRNA from 1 species
AGCGCAAAGCUCAAAUUUGAAAACCCUCGGGAUUGUAAUUUGAAGAUUUG